GAUGAACGCUGGCGGCGUGCCUAACACAUGCAAGUCGAGCGAUCUCUUCGGAGAGAGCGGCGGACGGGUGAGUAACGCGUGGGUAACCUGCCCUGUACACACGGAUAACAUACCGAAAGGUAUGCUAAUACGAGAUAACAUAUGGAAAUCGCAUGUUUUUCAUAUCAAAGCGUUAGCGGUACAGGAUGGACCCGCGUCUGAUUAGCUAGUUGGUGGGGUAACGGCUCACCAAGGCGACGAUCAGUAGCCGACCUGAGAGGGUGAUCGGCCACAUUGGAACUGAGACACGGUCCAAACUCCUACGGGAGGCAGCAGUGGGGAAUAUUGCACAAUGGGCGCAAGCCUGAUGCAGCAACGCCGCGUGAGCGAUGAAGGCCUUCGGGUCGUAAAGCUCUGUCCUAAGGGAAGAUAAUGACGGUACCUUAGGAGGAAGCCCCGGCUAACUACGUGCCAGCCGCCGCCGUAACAC
rnacentral:rRNA from 1 species